GACGAACGCUGGCGGCGUGCCUAAUACAUGCAAGUCGAACGCAGUGGGGACGGGUGAGUAACACGUGGGUAACCUCCCAUCAGAGGGGAUAACACUUGGAAACAGGUGCUAACCCGAUACGGAUGGAUGGACCCGCGGUGCUUUAGCUAGUGGGUGGGGUAACGGCUCACCAAGUCCACGAUGCAUAGCCGGCCUGAGAGGGUGACCGGCCACACUGGAACGGAGACACGGCCCAGACUCCUACGGGAGGCAGCAGUAGGGAAUCUUCGGCAAUGGACGAAAGCCUGACCGAGCAACGCCGCGUGAGUGAAGAAGGUUUUCGGAUCGUAAAGCUCUGUUGUUAGAGAAGCGGUAUCUAACCAGAAAGCCACGGCUAACUACGUGCCAGCAGCCGCGGUAAUAC
rnacentral:rRNA from 1 species